AUCGAACGCUGGCGGCAUGCCUUACACAUGCAAGUCGAACGGUAACAGGUCUUCGGACGCUGACGAGUGGCGAACGGGUGAGUAAUACAUCGGAACGUGCCCAGUCGUGGGGGAUAACUACUCGAAAGAGUGGCUAAUACCGCAUACGAUCCGAGGAUGAAAGCGGGGGACCUUCGGGCCUCGCGCGAUUGGAGCGGCCGAUGGCAGAUUAGGUAGUUGGUGGGAUAAAAGCUUACCAAGCCGACGAUCUGUAGCUGGUCUGAGAGGACGACCAGCCACACUGGGACUGAGACACGGCCCAGACUCCUACGGGAGGCAGCAGUGGGGAAUUUUGGACAAUGGGCGAAAGCCUGAUCCAGCAAUGCCGCGUGCAGGAUGAAGGCCUUCGGGUUGUAAACUGCUUUUGUACGGAACGAAAAAGCUUCCCCUAAUACGGGAGGCCCAUGACGGUACCGUAAGAAUAAGCACCGGCUAACUACGUGCCAGCAGCCGCGGUAAAAC
rnacentral:rRNA from 1 species